rnacentral:rRNA from 1 species
GCUGGCGGCAGGCUUACACAUGCAAGUCGAGCGCCCCGCAAGGGGAGCGGCAGACGGGUGAGUAACGCGUGGGAAUCUACCUUUUGCUACGGAAUAACUCAGAGAAACUUGUGCUAAUACCGUAUGUGCCCUUCGGGGGAAAGAUUUAUCGGCAAAGGAUGAGCCCGCGUUGGAUUAGCUAGUUGGUGGGGUAAAGGCCUACCAAGGCGACGAUCCAUAGCUGGUCUGAGAGGAUGAUCAGCCACACUGGGACUGAGACACGGCCCAGACUCCUACGGGAGGCAGCAGUGGGGAAUAUUGGACAAUGGGCGCAAGCCUGAUCCAGCCAUGCCGCGUGAGUGAUGACGGUCUUAGGAUUGUAAAGCUCUUUCACCGGUGAAGAUAAUGACGGUAACCGGAGAAGAAGCCCCGGCUAACUUCGUGCCAGCAGCCGCGGUAAU